rnacentral:rRNA from 1 species
UGCCAGCCGCCGCGGUAAUACGGAGGGUGCAAACGUUAAUCGGAAUUACUGGGCGUAAAGCGCGCGUAGGCGGUUUUAUAAGUGGGAUGUGAAAGCCCAGGGCUUAACCCUGGAACUGCAUUCCAAACUGUAGAACUAGAGUGCGAUAGAGGGGGGUAGAAUUCAGAGUGUAGCGGUGAAAUGCGUAGAUAUUCUGAGGAAUACCGGUGGCGAAGGCGGCCCCCUGGAUUGACACUGACGCUGAGGUGCGAAAGCGUGGGGAGCAAACAGGAUUAGAUA